rnacentral:rRNA from 1 species
AUAUAAUUGGUGACUCAUAAUAACUUUACGGAUCACAAUUAAUGUGACAUAUCAUUCAAGUUUCGGACCUAUCAGCUUUAGACGGUAGGGUAUUGGCCUACCGUGGCAAUGACGGGUAACGGGGAAUUAUGGUUCGAUUCCGGAGAGGGAGCCUGAGAAACGGCUACCACAUCUAAGGAAGGCAGCAGGCGCGCGAAUUACCCAAUCCUAAUACAGGGAGGUAGUGACAAGAAAUAACAAUACAGGACUUUUUGGUUUUAUAAUUGGAAUGAGUUAAGUAUAAACCCCUUUACAAGUAUCAAUUGGAGGGCAAGUCUGGUGCCAUCAGCCGCGGUAAUCCCAGCUCCAAUAGCGUAUAUUAAAGUUGUUGCAGUUAAAAAGCUCGUAGUGGGAUUUCUGUUAAUAAUUUAUAUAAAAUAUUUUGAUGAAUAUUUAUAUAAUAUUAACAUAAUUCAUAUUACUAUUUUUUUUUUUAGUAUAUGAAAUUUUACUUUGAGAAAAUUAGAGUGCUUAAAGCAGGCAUAUGCCUUGAAUACUCCAGCAUGGAAUAAUAUUAAAGAUUUUUAUCUUUUUUAUUGGUUCUAAGAUAAGAAUAAUGAUUAAUAGGGACAGUUGGGGGCAUUUGUAUUUAACAGUCAGAGGUGAAAUUCUUAGAUUUGUUAAAGACAAACUAAUGCGAAAGCAUUUGCCAAGGGUGUUUUCAUUAAUCAAGAAGGAAAGUUAGGGGAUCGAAGACGAUCAGAUACCGUCGUAGUCUUAACCAUAAACUAUGCCAACUAC